UACAUGGCUCAGUCGGCAGAGCAUGAAACUCUUAAUGUCAGGGUUGUGGGUUCGAGUUCCACAUUGGGCAAAA